rnacentral:lncRNA from 1 species
AUCUUGUGAUCACCCUCAUUACCUCUUCUGGGCCCCCUGUGGACCUGCGUUGACCCAGCAUGGGCUACAAUGGGGGAGUUGGGUAAUCGCUCCCGUUGCAUCCUGUUUCUGUCUGAAAACCCUUGUCUUUCUGAAUCCAUCUUUCAGUCUCUCACAUUCUGUCUUUCCCCUCCUCCUUCACCUUCCCUCCGUCCCUCUCCCUUGCGCACUUGCCGGGUACCAGCUGAGUGCAUCCUUUUCCCAAACCUGCUCUGCUUCCAAGGGGCCCUUUUCUGUCUCCUCCACCUGUCCCCAUGUUUUGGGGACUGCCUGGAAAUCCGGGACACCCUCCUGAGGAGGGAGCUGGUGCCCAACGGCACCUCUUAGGAUGAACCCAGCCAGCUGCGUUCCUGGCCUCUGCAGAAUGGCAUACAGAAGGCAUUUUAAGCAAGCGAGCUGAGCUCGCCGCAGGACUCCGACUACCAGGCACC